rnacentral:sRNA from 1 species
AAAAUUGUUAUCUUCAUUUCUUAUCAUUUAAUAAAACAUUUUCAAAUAAAAAAAUGUGAUGUGUCAUUGAUCAAAAAUGUAAAUAAUGUAAAUAAAGCGGCGCGUAUGAAUACAAAACAACAACAGCAACAAUAUUCAAAAUGGAUGCGCCUUCAGCUGAUGCAGAGCUAUUGAGCUGAAUUUAAUGGAUUAAACACAAAUAGUGAGUUAAAAUCUGAACUGGCUGAAUUGAAAACGAAAGGAAAAUACAUGCGAUAGCUUGUGAUAUUAUUCACUGUGCAGAAAAACUCGUAAUAAAGCUAGUUUUCAUGUGAGAUCGCUGGAAUAUGCAACUGGACAUAACCAUCCAAGGAAAGGCGAUCGUGGAUGAAAAUAGCUGAUAUGUCGACAAAGAAUAGUAUGUAUAAGCGACUUUUGUAAACGUUGUGGUAACUAGAUAGCCAGUGAUGUACUUAAAUGGUAUAUCAGCCGUUUGGAAUGCGUAGAAGGAGUUGAUGCAUCACUCAUAGCUUUUCUUUACGACGCUUAUUCUGAUGACCGAUCAUGUACGUGUGUAAAUUUAAAAAUUAUCGUUACCAAAUUUGAACAGCAGUGUUACCGUGAAAGUUUAUAGGCCUAUAUGUUCGUUAUAAUAUUCCUGGAAAAGGAACAGCCAGCCUCGCUGUAAAUGUUGAUUGAUCUCAAGCAGACGAAAUCGUGAGAAGACGCUUAAUUUUCUAUUUCGUGAAUCAAAUAAUGUGUUUUGUUUAUUUUUGAAGGUUAAACUUUCAAUUUUUUAUAUUCACAAGGUUGCAUUUUGUUUGCUGACAAUAAAACAGACACAACUUU